rnacentral:rRNA from 1 species
UACGUAGGUGGCAAGCGUUGUCCGGAAUUAUUGGGCGUAAAGGGUGUGUAGGCGGUUUUCUAAGUUUGGUGUGAAAUCUCCCGGCUCAACCGGGAGGGUGCGCCGAAAACUGGGAGACUAGAGUGCGGGAUGGGAGAGUAGAAUUCCUGGUGUAGCGGUGGAAUGCGCAGAUAUCAGGAGGAACACCGGUGGCGAAGGCGGGUCUCUGGGCCGUUACUGACGCUGGGGCGCGAAAGCGUGGGGAGCGAUCCGG